GGCCUGCAUUUUUUUUUUAGCUGUAAUCUCUGUCCUGCCUUUUUAUUUUUCACUCUGUUUGGUCCUGCUUUUUUUUUCUUUUAGUUUAUCCUGACUUUUUUUUUUUGGCAAUUGUCUCAUCCUGCCUUUUUUUUACUCAAAACUCCUGUCCUGCCUAUUUUUUUCAAAUUUCAUCCUAGCCCUCCAUAAAAAUCAAAUGGUAGCUCCCUUA
rnacentral:lncRNA from 1 species